UGCAGGCAACAGCUCAGUUGGCAGAGCACGAGAUGCUUAAUUUCGGGGUUGUGAGUUCGAGCUUUACGUUGGGCAA